rnacentral:rRNA from 1 species
GAAUUCAACUCCUACGGGAGGCAGCAGUGGGGAAUUUUGGACAAUGGGCGCAAGCCUGAUCCAGCAAUGCCGCGUGAGUGAAGAAGGCCUUCGGGUUGUAAGGCUCUUUUGUCAGGGAAGAAACGGUUCCGGCUAAUAUCCGGGGCUAAUGACGGUACCUGAAGAAUAAGCACCGGCUAACUACGUGCCAGCAGCCGCGGUAAUACGUAGGGUGCAAGCGUUAAUCGGAAUUACUGGGCGUAAAGCGUGCGCAGGCGGUUUUGUAAGUCAGAUGUGAAAUCCCCGGGCUCAACCUGGGAAUUGCAUUUGAGACUGCACGGCUAGAGUGUGUCAGAGGGGGGUAGAAUUCCACGUGUAGCAGUGAAAUGCGUAGAUAUGUGGAGGAAUACCGAUGGCGAAGGCAGCCCCCUGGGAUAACACUGACGCUCAUGCACGAAAGCGUGGGGAGCAAACAGGAUUAGAUACCCUUGUAGUCCAGGCGUU